rnacentral:rRNA from 1 species
CGUUCCCAUGCCGAACACGGAAGUUAAGCACUUGAACGCCGAAAGUAGUUGGGGGCUUCCCCCUGUGAGGAUAGGACGUUGCCAGGC